GGAUUAUGGCUCAGUAGUAGAGCGCUCGCCUAGCACGUGUGAGGCCCUAGGUUCAAUCCUCAGCACCA
rnacentral:tRNA from 1 species